rnacentral:rRNA from 1 species
UGAGUAACGCGUGGGUAACCUGCCUUUCAGAGGGGGACAACAGUUGGAAACGACUGCUAAUACCGCAUAAGACCACGGUACCGCAUGGUACAGUGAUCAAAGGAGAAAUCCGCUGAAAGAUGGGCCCGCGUCUGAUUAGAUAGUUGGUGGGGUAACGGCCUACCAAGUCGACGAUCAGUAGCCGGACUGAGAGGUUGAUCGGCCACAUUGGGACUGAGACACGGCCCAGACUCCUACGGGAGGCAGCAGUGGGGAAUAUUGCACAAUGGGGGAAACCCUGAUGCAGCGACGCCGCGUGAGUGAAGAAGUAUUUCGGUAUGUAAAGCUCUAUCAGCAAGGAAGAAAAUGACGGUACUUGACUAAGAAGCCCCGGCUAACUACGUG